AGCAAUUGGAUUUAGCCCAAGGAUUUCUCCUUCAGUAGUCUUCGUUUUCACAGUGAUCCUAUGAAGCAGGAUAGGCUGAGAGACUGUGAGACUAAAGAUCACCUGGGAAGUUUGAUGGCCACAACUACUUACAACUCUUACAGGCAUACUACAAACAACUUUUAGAAGAAAAAGGGAAAACAGGAAGAA